rnacentral:rRNA from 1 species
AAUGGGCGCAAGCCUGAUCCAGCCAUGCCGCGUGAGUGAUGAAGGCCUUAGGGUUGUAAAGCUCUUUUGGCGGGGACGAUAAUGACGGUACCCGCAGAAUAAGUCCCGGCUAACUUCGUGCCAGCAGCCGCGGUAAUACGAAGGGGACUAGCGUUGUUCGGAAUCACUGGGCGUAAAGCGCACGUAGGCGGAUUUGUAAGUCAGGGGUGAAAUCCCGGGGCUCAACCUCGGAACUGCCUUUGAUACUGCGAAUCUCGAGUCCGAUAGAGGUGGGUGGAAUUCCUAGUGUAGAGGUGAAAUUCGUAGAUAUUAGGAAGAACACCGGUGGCGAAGGCGGCCCACUGGAUCGGUACUGACGCUGAGGUGCGAAAGCGUGGGGAGCAAA